rnacentral:misc_RNA from 1 species
AAUUAUUGGGCGUGCACCCCACUUUUAAAAUCAAGAAAUUACAUUUUAUUUCUAAGAGAAAACUGUUUAAGAAUCUUCCAAAUUGAGAAUGUGCUCCUUAUAUAAAAGACUCCCAAAUAUUAUGAGAGCAAUAAAAAACUUCCAUUCCCUCGGACAAUUCUAAAACAAAUUUGCAAAUCACUCUAAUUUCAUUUCUAAUGAUUUGAGAUUACAACAUCGGAGGGAGGAAUUGAA